rnacentral:rRNA from 1 species
CCGAGUUUACAACUCCCAAACCCAAUGUGAACGUUACCAAACUGUUGCCUCGGCGGGAUCUCUGCCCCGGGUGCGUCGCAGCCCCGGACCAAGGCGCCCGCCGGAGGACCAACCAAAACUCUUAUUGUAUACCCCCUCGCGGGUUUUUUACUAUCUGAGCCAUCUCGGCGCCCCUCGUGGGCGUUUCGAAAAUGAAUCAAAACUUUCAACAACGGAUCUCUUGGUUCUGGCAUCGAUGAAGAACGCAGCGAAAUGCGAUAAGUAAUGUGAAUUGCAGAAUUCAGUGAAUCAUCGAAUCUUUGAACGCACAUUGCGCCCGCCAGUAUUCUGGCGGGCAUGCCUGUCCGAGCGUCAUUUCAACCCUCGAACCCCUCCGGGGGGUCGGCGUUGGGGAUCGGCCCUUUACGGGGCCGGCCCCGAAAUACAGUGGCGGUCUCGCCGCAGCCUCUCCUGCGCAGUAGUUUGCACACUCGCAUCGGGAGCGCGGCGCGUCCACAGCCGUUAAACACCCCAAACUUCUGAAAUGUUGACCUCGGAUCAGGUAGGAAUACCCGCUGAACUUAAGCAUAUCAAAAGCCCGGAGGAAA